ensembl:lncRNA EPIC1 epigenetically induced MYC interacting lncRNA 1
ACCUUGGGGAGGGGCCAGCUGCUGUGUUCAGUCCGCCAUUGCAAACACGAAGCUCUUCCAGAAACGCCCUCACAGACACCCCGGAAGUCACGUACCCACUCUGUAGGUGCCCCGGGGCACAGGCAAGCGGACGAGCCAGUUAUCCCUCAGAGCUCCUGCUGCCUCGCCCGCUUUCUCUCGGAAACGUGAAGUGUGGCCUCAGCUGAAAGUGAGGUGGGCCUCAUUCAAUCAGUUGAAUUCUUCAAGAGAGAAAAACUGAAGUCCCUUAGAAGGAAAGAGUUCUGCCUUCAGACUGUCUUUGAACUUAAGACUGUAGCGUCGACUCCUGCCGGAAUUUCCAGCCUGCUGGCCAGCUCUGCAGAUUCACACUUGCCAGCCUCCACAAUCGCAGCUGAGGCGGAGGAACCCUAAGGGCUCAUUGAGAUCAUGGAUUUGCCCUUCUAUGCAUUGAUGGAGCACCUGCUGCCCACAGCGUCUGUAUUUGGUGCUGGGAUGCUGAGGACACUGAGAUCUUCAAACAGAGGCUGCCACUCUAAGCAAACAGAUCCCGAGCCCUGGACUCUGAAGCUUGGGCCCAGUUCUCCUUUUCUCCGGGUUUCAGAUCCCACUGUGAAGUGAGGGGGCCCUUCUGAUUCAGGACCCGGGGAAGCCAGGGGCAUGAGCAUCGGUGCCUCUUCUCUAUUUCAAGGACCCUUCUGGGUGUAAAGUUCUCUGAGAUGCCUUACAUGGAUUCCCACCACUGCAAGAUAACCAUCGUAUGAGGCUUCAGGCUUGACCAAAUCUGACUGGCUGGCUGCCGGAGACACUGCUACCCAUCGGCCCUUAAUAAAUGGCCUCAUUUGAUCAUCAUGUGAUCUUCAGAAGCUGGGCUUGAUUAUCCUUGCCAAACAAAAUGCUGAAACCAAAAAUCUGAAAGGUAUUUCUUGCUAAGUAAGGGAGAGCUGUGCUUGUAGAGUGUGGUCACCCUGAACAGCGCAAACUGCUUGUGGAGCUCCAAGACUGGCAGACUUGGGAGGGGGAGCAUUUAGGGAUUGGAUGACUUUGGCCGUGGACUCGGGGUUGGGACAGUGAGGCUGCCACUGAAUGGCUGUCACUCAGAAAUGUAGUUACUGAUAAAAAGUUGACUCAAUUUGUCAGGGCAGGCUUAAAAUCAGUUUUGGUAGUUACUUUUUGUCAUGGCUGAAGAGCAAUCCUCUGUCUUCUUGAAUUUGGACCUUUAUUUGGACUUGAGUUUGGAAAAACUAAGAAAUUUUUGUUCUCAUUUUCAUUACAUGCUUGAGAAAACUGAGGCUCAGACAGGCGAGUAAGUUUCCCAGGGUCACGCAUUUACCGGCUGGCAUAUUAAAGUUUUGAACAAAGUCCACGCUUUUCUUACACACUAUUCUCAUUAGUAUUAGUUUUAGUAGUAAUCGUAGCUGUACUUUUGGUUCAUAGGUUCAUAGAGAGUUGUUAAUCCUACUCCUCACUGAUAAUCCAUUCUCGCCAUCAUGCCCUACAAGACCUCUGGUUGUUUAAUUCCAUUUCUCCUUCAUGCUGGAUCCCAUCUCCCAUCCCCUCUCCACCCCUCCGACAGAGUCACUCUUUCUAAUGUCUUUUUAUCUGUACCUAAAUAUUUGUGUAGCUUUGAAAAAUCUAAUUUGUCAAGGGUUAUGUGUUCAUUUUACAUUUCCAUACAUGUUAUUGUGCAAUAUAUAGAUCUCAUUUGUUUCCUAAUUUUUUUCACUCACCACUGUUGUGAAAACACACUGACAUUUCUGUAUGACCCUCUUCUGACCUUUGCUUCACAGCGUGCAUCUACCAUACCUUAACCUACCCUGUUCCUCUUGUCAUGGACCCCUGGAUUGCCUCUGGCUCCCCCCAACACACACCUUACUGCAACAUCCACACACUGGGGUCUUUAUGGAUUUCCCUGGGUUUUCACUUAGGAGUGGGAUUGCUGGAUCCUAGGAGACACCCGUUAAUUCUGCUUGGCACAGACAGUUUGCUCUGUGUGGCAGGCCAUAUUCCCAUCAGCAGUGCGUGAGGGGUUCAUUCUGCCACAUCCUCACCAGCAUUUUUAUACUCCUUGAAAGUUUUGUCAGUUAGAUGAAUGGGUGCAAAAUGUAAUCUUAACAUUGAUUUAACCUGCAUUUCUGUGUUUGCCAAGGAAGUUGUGCGUCUCUUCAUUACUUAGCAGCCAUUCAAGUUUCCCUUUCUGUGAAGCUCUUAUUCAUAUACCUUAGCCAAUUUGAUAGUCCAUUGUUUUUAUUUUGUUGGAUUUCACUAUUUCCUUGCAUGUUCUAGAUGCCAAUAUCUUGUUGAUUUUAAAAGAUGUAGUCAUUCUCCCCCCAAUCUGUCACUUGUUUACUUUAAUGAUGCCUUUUUAUCUCAAACCCAAAUUUUUAAUGUUGCUAUUGAAAGGGCAAAAGUUCCCUUAUCCCUGUCACAGGGUGUGUGAUGCGGGAGUGGCUCACUUCCUCAGCGCCCCGCUGCUGAGACCUUUAGGGGAGCAUGCAGAUGGGCCGGUUGUGUGGCUCCGACCCCACGGCAGCGUCUAGGGGUGAAUGUUUACAGCUGCUGAAGCCACAGUGGGCGUGUGUUACAGGAUGCUCUUUUAGUUCAGCCAUCCGUAGGUGGCUUGUGUUAGCUCAAUUAGACACCCUUCCUUAUCACAAGGACACAGGGAUUUCUGUAUCCCGGGGUUUCUUGCCUUGGUGUACUGGAAGAAUCGGAUCAGUUGUGGGCUUGGAGAAUAAGUGUAAGUUUGUUUUUUUGUUAUUUUAUUAUUAUUAUUAUUAUUUUGAGAUGGAGUCUCGCUCUGUUGCCCAGGCUGGAGUCCAAUGGCACAAUCUCGGCUCACUGCAACCUCUGUCGCCCGGGUUCAAGCAUUUCUCCUGCCUCAGCUUCCUGAGUAGCUGGGACUACAGGUGCCCGCCACUGUGCCCAGCUAAUUUUUGUAUUUUUAGUAGAGACAGGGUUUCACCUUGCUGGCCAGGCUGGUCUUGAACUCCUGACCUCAUUAUCCACCUGUCUCAGCCUCCCAAAGUGCUGGGAUUACAGGCGUGAGCCACCGUGCCUGGCCUAAGUGCAAGGUUUUAUUGAGUGGAAGUUCUCAGCAGAUGGAUGGGGAGCCAGAAGGGAGAUGGAGUGGGAAGGUGGUUUUCCCUUGGAGUCGGGCAGCUCAGUGGCCCAGGCUGUCCUCUGACCUCCCUGGUUGAACUCUGUGUCGUUCUGCAGGUCAAUGGCCUGCCAGCCUGCCUGUGUCUGUCAGUGUGCUGUUCUGCUGGGGCCCUCUCCACAUCCAGCUGCUGUGUCGUCUUCCACUGAUGCGUUCCUCUUGACAUCCAGCCGCAUGUGCAUGUGUGUCCGAUGGGGCCUCGGGGUUUUUAUAGGCAUAGGAUGGGGGUGUGGUGGGCCAGGGUGGUCUUGGGAAAUGCAACAUUUGGGCGGGAAAACAGAAAUGCCUGUCCUCACCUAGGCCCAUGGGCACAGGCCCUGGGAUGAAGCCCUAGCCAGGGACCACACCUUCCUCUACCCAGCACGUCCCUGUCCCCCUUCCAUAUCACUGUGGUAAAAUCCAGUUUUUUUCACCUUAGAUUUUGUACAUUUGAGGUAUGACAUAAAGUGCAUAUUCAGUUCAAGAUAAAAAGUUUUCUCCAAUAGUCUCCUAUUAGCUUUAUUUUUAUGCCUUUUCAUUUGAGUUUUUAAUCAAUCUAGAGAUCAUUUUACUUAGGAUGUAAGGAAGAGUUCCAAUUUUAGUUUUACCCAUCAGG